UCAUUUUGCAAAACCACCGAGAUCUCUCGAAAUCGAAUUGGAUCUCUGAAAAUCAAAAACCAUCUUUCUGAAAUCUAACCCAAUUUGUGAGAUCUCUUAAACUCAAUCUGAUUUGUGAGAUGGGUUCUCGUAAGAUUGAGUUUAAGCUAUUCGAUUUUUUAUAUUUUCAGAUGUGGGUUUUAACCGAAUUUGAUUUGUGAGAUCUCUUUAACUCAUCUCACAAAUCAAAACCCAUCUUUCUGAAAUCAGAAUCAAGUAACCCAAUUUUUGUUUCAAACCCUAGUUUAUGAAAACUGUCGGAGAUACAGUUGGGAGCUUGUACUUUAAGAAUUCAUGGAGUUAGAUUGGCUAGAGUCCAUAUGCCCGACUGGCAUGGUUAUAAAGGUUGUAUUGAAUGUUAUAGAACAAUUUGACCACUUUGUUGGAGAAGAUGUGAUGACUGACUUGAAGUACCCAUUCCAAGGCAAUGCCUUACCAUUUUGAGCAGUUCCAGUGGUGGCCAUAGUAUUGACAUUGGUUAUCAUUGUGGGUAUCUACUUUUACAGGAGGGAUGUAUAUGAUUUGCACCAUGCAAACUUGGUUUGUGGUCUUAGCUCCUAGAGGAUGCAUCACUUACCCCUCUGUUAUGCCUAGGAGCUGGAGCAUGUGAUGGAAUAAUAUCCAUGUCAGCAACUUACACAAUGGAUCUGGUGAAACGCAGGUUUACAAUCCAGGUAAUGUUUCGACUUUGCAUAGUGCAGACAGAAGUGUUUCCUUUCCAGUACAGGGGAAUUGCACAUACCUUAUCAACUUUCCUCCGGGAAGGCCUACGAGAUUUAUAUAAAGGAUGGCUUCCUUCUGUAGUUGGAUUUAGUUGUUGCGUACCACACUCGGAUGCUUGAGGUUUCAUUGACUGCUUUCGAAGAUCUAAACAAACAAGCUUUUUGACAUAAUUGGUGAUGGUUGCUGAGACUUAUUGGUAAGCAACACCUUGGUUUUACUCUUCAGUUAAGCUUUCUUAGUAAUCUAUUCUUUUCGACUUUUCUGAACGAGUCACUGGAGGUGCUGCUGGAGUUUUGAAGAGCCCAGCAGUCAAUACCCGUCAGUGGUGUAGACAUUGGUCCUGUACACAAGAGUUAUGUCAGUGGCUAAGCCCUGCAUUAGGAUUUACUACGCAAUAUAAUUGCUGCCACACCUACAAGUGAUGGACAAAUGGAUCAAAUUGGUUCCCUUGGAUGCUCUAGCUGACGUCCCCUCCACUUCUGCAACCACAACACCUGAAGCUUAAAUUCCCAUUGAUUUCACUACCAAAGUUCACUAAUUAAAACUUGCAAGUGAAAGGCUUCUGUUCUGAAUACUGCAACACAGAUGAUGGGGCAAAAGCUUUUGUUACUAAGAAGUCUACACUUUAAAGGAUUUGGUCUAAAGAUGGAAUAUGUUCACUGCAUUCUCUUGUUCAGGUUAAAAAUUCUAUCUCGUCCUUCACAAGUACAGUUUAGAUCUAUCGUAAACUGUGUAGAUUAUCUUAAGCUGUUCAGAUGUAUCCUAAACAUUUUUAGUUGAGGUCGUAAUGAUGCUAAACCAAGAGGUACAGAUGGAGCUGGAUAAGAUGGUGAGUUUCGUAAAGUGCUAAGCUCUUGUUGUACAACAAGAUGUACUGUAAUUAUAAUCGGCAGAUUUCAUCUUUAGAAUGUAUGUAUAGAGUAUAUAUAACUUAAUGUGUAUGUAAUCCAUGUUGGAAGAGAGAACAUUAUAAGGAUCUGAGCAGGUGCC